AGAACGAACGCUGGCGGCAGGCUUAACACAUGCAAGUCGAACGCUCAUAGCAAUAUGGGAGUGGCGCACGGGUGAGUAACACGUGGGAACAUGCCUUUUAGUUUGGGAUAACCACUGGAAACGGUGGCUAAUACCAGAUACGCCCUCAGGGGGAAAGAUUUAUCGCUAAAAAGAUUGGCCCGCGUUAGAUUAGGUAGUUGGUGGGGUAAUGGCCUACCAAGCCUACGAUCUAUAGCUGGUCUGAGAGGACGACCAGCCACACUGGAACUGAGACACGGUCCAGACUCCUACGGGAGGCAGCAGUGGGGAAUAUUGGACAAUGGGCGCAAGCCUGAUCCAGCCAUGCCGCGUGAGUGAUGAAGGCCUUAGGGUUGUAAAGCUCUUUUGUGAGGGAAGAUAAUGACGGUACCUCAAGAAUAAGCACCGGCUAACUUCGCGCCAGCAGCCGC
rnacentral:rRNA from 1 species